UUCGACUAAGCUAUAUUAAACAAGGGUUGGUAAAUUUCGUGCCAGCCACCGCGGCCAUACGAUUAACCCAAACUAAUAGACCCACGGCGUAAAGCGUGUUACAGAGAAAAAAAUAUACUAAAGUUAAAUUUUAACUAGGCCGUAGAAAGCUACAGUUAACAUAAAAAUACAGCACGAAAGUAACUUUAACACCUCCGACUACACGACAGCUAAGACCCAAACUGGGAUUAGAUACCCCACUAUGCUUAGCCCUAAACUUAGAUAGUUAUCCUAAACAAAACUAUCCGCCAGAGAACUACUAGCAAU
rnacentral:rRNA from 1 species